GGCUUUAUAAUUUAAAUCAAAAAUAUUGAAUUGCAAAUUCAAAUAUACAUGUAGAUGUUUAAGCUU
rnacentral:tRNA from 1 species